GAAUUCCCAGUAAGCGCGAGUCAUAAGCUCGCGUUGAUUACGUCCCUGCCCUUUGUACACACCGCCCGUCGCUACUACCGAUUGAAUGAUUUAGUGAGGUCUUCGGACUGGUGCGCGGCAAUGCGUCGGCAUUGCGAUGUUGCCGGGAAGAUGACCAAACUUGAUCAUUUAGAGGAAGUAAAAGUCGCAACAAGGUUUCCGUAGGUGAACCUGCGGAAGGAUCAUUA
rnacentral:rRNA from 1 species